rnacentral:rRNA from 1 species
AGCCUGAACGCUGGCGGCGUGGCUAAGACAUGCAAGUCGCACGGUGUAGCAAUACACAGUGGCGAACGGGAGAGUAAUGAAUCGCUAAUGUACCCCGGACUCUGAGAUAGCUACCCGAAAGGGUAGGUAAUACCAGAUAAUAUAACCUUGUCGCAUGACAGGGUUCUCAAAGGUCCGCCGGUCUGGGAGCAGGCGAUUUCGUAUCAGCUAGUUGGUGAGGUAACGGCUCACCAAGGCGACGACGCGUAGCCGGACUGAGAGGUUGGCCGGCCUCAUUGGGACUGAGACACUGCCCAGACUCCUACGGGGGGCUGCAGUAACGAAUCUUCCGCAAUGCACGAAAGUGUGACGGAGCGACGCCGCGUGUGGACGAAGGCCCUUCGGGGUGUAAACCACUGUCGAGGGUUACCAAGUUCUGACGGAACCCCAGACGGAAGCGACGGCUAACUCUGUGCCAGCAGCCGC